rnacentral:rRNA from 1 species
GCCUAGCCCUAAAUCCUGAUACUUACCCUACUAAAGUAUCCGCCCGAGAACUACGAGCAUAAACGCUUAAAACUCUAAGGACUUGGCGGUGCCCCAGAUCCCCCUAGAGGAGCCUGUCCUAUAAUCGAUAACCCACGAUAUACCCGACCUCCCCUUGCCAAAACAGCCUACAUACCGCCGUCUCCAGUUCACCUCCCUGAGAGAGCAACAGUGAGCACAAUAGCUUUAUCCCGCUAACAAGACAGGUCAAGGUAUAGCUUAUGAGGAGGAAGAGAUGGGCUACAUUUUCUACAAUAGAAAAUCUCACGAAAGGGGGCUUGCAAGUUCCCCCAGAAGGAGGAUUUAGUAGUAAAGAGAGAUAAUAGAGCCCUCUUUAAACCGGCCCUGAGGCACGU